UAUAUUGGACAAUAGGGGCAACCUUAUCCACCAAUGCAACGCGUGUGAGGAAGGCCUGCGGGUGUAAGACACUUUCAGAGGAGAAGAAAAGCCCAGGUUUAAUAACCAGUUGUGUUGACGUUAGAUGCAGAAGAAUCUCCGGCUUACUCCGCAGCAGCAGCGGGUAAUACGGAGGGACCGAUUGUUAAUCGAAAUUACUGGGCGUAAAGCGAUAUAGGCGGCUUUGUAAGUCGGAAAAAAAGCCCUGGGUUUAACCUGGGAAUUGCAUUCGAUGCUGCAUGGCUAGAGCAUGGUAAAGGGAAAUGGAAUUUCCGGUGUAGCAAAAAAUGCGUUGAUAUCGGAAGGAACCCCUGUGGAGGAGGCUACUUUGUGGUCCAAUACUGACUAAGAAGCGAGGAAUGGAGGGAACAAACGGGAUUAAAUUCCUUGGUUUCCACCCUA
rnacentral:rRNA from 1 species